AUUAACUACUUCACAUUAUCUGUCUGUUUUUGUCCCUUUUGUGUCUGUUUUGGCUCUCAAGGCAUGUUAAGGUAUAUUCUUUAAUUAAUUUGUAAUUUUAUAUCAUCUAAUUGUGCUUUUCUAUUGUGUUUGUAUUGUAGAAUGUUAUCACUUUGUAAUGGAAAUGUGCAUCUGUACUUAAACAGAUUGUUUACAGUCUCCCGUUCAAAGAGCUUAUCAACUGCCUACUGAACACUUCCAUGUUCCUGCUCAGAACAACAACAGGAUGUGAAAAUGUUACCGUGGUGCCUUUUUGUAUUAGAGCUGACAUAGUAUAGUCUGUAACAUGACCUCAGUAAGAUUCAAUAAUUGUGGGCCUUGAGCAGAAUGUCUUUAGACUGAUUCUUAGUUUUUGCAUUAGUAGGCUAUGAACACUAUUUCGUUUUUUACAAUGGAAAGGAACGUGGAAAGGCAUGUUCAUGUGUAGAUGCCAUUAAAACAGACUUGACUUGUAA